rnacentral:tRNA from 1 species
AGCCCGGUGGUGUAGCGGCCAAUCAUGCGGGCCUUUGGAGCCCGCGACGGCGGUUCGAAUCCGCCCCGGGCUACCA